CGAAAAUGCAGCAAAGACGAGUGGAAACGUCGAAGAAACAAGCACCCGCGAGCAAACAUAGAAGUACAAGGACCAGAAAUGCAAUUUAUGAAGAUACGAGGGGUAAGCGUGUCGCGAGCCUAUAAGGAUGAUCGCAUUGCGACAUGUGAAAUGAAUGUUCAGCAACGAAAGUACUAUUUUACCCUUAAUGAUUCAAGAUAACUAUGAACUCAUGCCACCGCGGAUUUGUCGUUAUAAGAGGACCAGACGAUGCGCAAUGAAGGUUGUAGCGUGUCAGAUGUAUUGAUUACAUGAAACUUGUAUUUGACUUGGAUUGAAACAUUGUAUAAUCCUUAAUCGAUAUAUAUUAUACCAUACGAUGUCCCAUAAGAAUCCAGACGCAUGCAUGCAUAUUCCAAAGAUCAAAGAGGGCAUUUGUAAGCUGGUGAAGGAGGAGAAUCGAAGGAGGAGCCUUAAAGUUUAAAUCUUUACGUAUUCGCAACACGUUAGCUAUAAUUUUCGGUUUUCUUCUCGUAUAAUUUGUGAUGUUCACCAUGUUUUAGACUUUUUAUCAUUGUUUCUCUGUUUUAGACAUGAUUAGAGGCUAGAUUCCUAAAGCCGCCUAGGUUUGAUGAACUUUUGACAUUAUUUGAUUUUUCGGUUUGACUUUCUAUUCAAGUUUGUGUUUGAUUUACAUAGUUGUGAGUUGUUGAUUAUGAUCAUGUAUACUAUUGUUUUGUUGUGAUUAUUGAUUUUUAUGUGUUUAGAAAAGAAAAAAUUCACGCUUGGCAUGUUUAAAUCUAUUGUUAGUUCGUUUAUUAUGCAUGUUUUCGAUCUGACCGUAUCAUUAGAAAUAAUAUAGGUUAAUUAAUCACUAAAAUCAAUAAAAUAAAGUGUACAUCCAAUUCCAUUGAUUAGAGAUAUGAUAUGGGAUAGCUAGGUUAUUAGCGUUUCGGUGUUUGACAGCUUGAGUGUCAAUAGCUCGGGUUCAAGUGUUUAUUCGCGUUUAGUUGUUUCCUGAGUAGUUGAUGUAUUAUCCUAGAACCAGCUUCAUAUGUGGAAGAUUGUUAGCGUGUCAGUCUUGCUUGUGGGAUUCGGUGUCGAUAGGUCGAGUCAUUUUCAUCUAGCACUUCAUUCACAUUCUAGUUAUUCUUAAUAAAAUGGUUUUCCGGUUCUAAGAGUGUGGGUCACAUUCAUAUUUUUCUAAUCACUAUAGGAUCUAUUUUGGUUGUCUUCAUAGCUCGGUUUCUAGGAUCUUGGGAGUUGAGAUCUCAUUGUUAGCUGACUAGUACUAUAGGACUUAAUCAUCUCCAAUGGGAUGUUAAUCGGGUUAGAUAUCAGAACUUGGUAGAUUAUCAGACUAGAAGUCAUUACAUGUCACUAGGGAUUCUUGCGUGGGUGGUUUGUUCAUUGUAACACCCCCAAAAUACUAAAUUUUGAUUUUCAUGUUUAUUAUGAUAUUUAACAUGAAGUAUGCAACCAGGAUUAUUUAAUUUAGUUAACUUAGUUAUCUAUUAGUGGAAGUAAGUGGGUUAUGACCAAAUAAGUGACAAGUAAACAUAAAAGACUGAAGUUAGACAAGUGAGAAAGUUAUUAAGUAAAAAAUAAGGAAAAAAUAAAAACCCAGGUUUUGUGUGUGUGGGUUGGUGAGUUUUAGUGGGAGAGAGGGGGAGAGGGAGAGGGAGAGGGAGAGGGAGAAUCCUCAUCUAAAUUUCAAUUUAUAAAACUCAGUAAAUUUAAGGUGAAAUUAUGGUGAUUUUCCUUGCAUGUUUGAAUAUUAUAAUCAUCUAGAAUAUGUGGUAGAAUCUCAUUUAGUGGAUAUUCUAUGAUAGAGGGUCUUGAAUGAUGAAAGCCUAUAAUGAAAUUCUAGAUUAUAAAUGUAAAUUGAAGUAGUAUUUGUGAUUAGAAUCACUAUAUUAACUAGUAUGUUGGAGUAUUUGAUUAAAUUAGAGAGUUUGAUGAAUGCUUAUUUUAACAUAGGGGUGAAAACCUUAAAUCCUUGUUUGAUAAUUUUGAUGUGUUAGCUUGUGUGAUAUGAAAAUUGUGCUAAUUGAGGCUAAUGGAUGUGUGAAACUUGUUGGGUUAUAAAACCUAGUGUGAAUGUUAGUAAGUUAUACACUAAAGAUAGUUGUUGAAGAAAUUGCCCACCAAGUGUUUGAUGAAAUGCAUACAUGAAAUUUGAUUUGUUUUUAACCCUUGAAACUUUGGUGAAAGUAGAGGAAUUAUUGUUAGUAACCUUUGAGGAAAAAAGGGCCAUGAAUGAUUAUUUGUUCAAAUGAUUACUUGGGUUAAAAUAUAGGCAACUUAAGUGAGGCUUUCGGAAGCCGAGACGGGAAGGAAACACAUCAAGGGUGAUAUCUAAGGCAAGGAAACCAAGACGUUAAGUGGACAAGCCGGUGUUGAUAUGCGUUUGAAAGGAGUGCUUUGAAGGUGAUGUAGGUGGCAUUCCGGAUGGCGAUCAAGCAUAAGUUAUGAACCGAACACGAUAUUUUGAAGCUUCCGCGAAGAUGACUGUUUAGUUGUUUGUUUUGAAAACAUGUAAACUUAUAGAUGUUUAAAUCUACUAUGGUGAUGUAA